rnacentral:rRNA from 1 species
UCGAGGAUCUUCGGCAAUGGGCGCAAGCCUGACCGAGCGACGCCGCGUGUGCGAUGAAGGCCUUCGGGUUGUAAAGCACUGUCGAGGGAGAGGAAGCCGCAAGGUUGACCGACCCCUGGAGGAAGCACGGGCUAAGUUCGUGCCAGCAGCCGCGGUAAGACGAACCGUGCGAACGUUGUUCGGAAUCACUGGGCUUAAAGGGCGCGUAGGCGGGCUGUCAGGUCCGGGGUGAAAGCACACGGCUUAACCGUGUAAUUGCCUGGGAUACCGGCAGUCUGGAGGAGGGUAGGGGCAUGUGGAACUUCCGGUGGAGCGGUGAAAUGCGUUGAUAUCGGAAGGAACGCCGGUGGCGAAAGCGACGUGCUGGGCCCUUCCUGACGCUGAGGCGCGAAAGCCAGGGGAGCAAACGGGAUUAGAUACCCCCGUAGUCC